GAUGAACGCUGGCGGCGUGCCUAAUACAUGCAAGUCGAGCGAACAGAUGAGGAGCUUGCUCCUCUGACGUUAGCGGCGGACGGGUGAGUAACACGUGGAUAACCUACCUAUAAGACUGGGAUAACUUCGGGAAACCGGAGCUAAUACCGGAUAAUAUAUUGAACCGCAUGGUUCAAUAGUGAAAGACGGUUUUGCUGUCACUUAUAGAUGGAUCCGCGCCGCAUUAGCUGGUUGGUAAGGUAACGGCUUACCAAGGCAACGAUGCGUAGCCGACCUGAGAGGGUGAUCGGCCACACUGGAACUGAGACACGGUCCAGACUCCUACGGGAGGCAGCAGUAGGGAAUCUUCCGCAAUGGGCGAAAGCUUGACGGAGCAACGCCGCGUGAGUGAUGAAGGUCUUCGGAUCGUAAAACUCUGUUAUUAGGGAAGAACAAAUGUGUAAGUAACUAUGCACGUCUUGACGGUACCUAAUCAGAAAGCCACGGCUAACUACGUG
rnacentral:rRNA from 1 species